AUUGAACGCUGGCGGGAGGCUUAACACAUGCAAGUCGAGCGAGCGGCGGACGGGUGAGUAAUGUAAGGGAAACUGCCUGAUGGAGGGGGAUAACUACGGGAAAGGGUGGCUAAUACCGCAUACCAUCGAAGCGGCCCAUAUGGGAUUAGCUAGUAGGUGGGGUAAUGGCUCACCAAGGACACGAUCCCUAGCGGGUCUGAGAGGAGGACCAGCCACACUGGGACUGAGACACGGUCCAGACUCCUACGGGAGGCAGCAGUGGGGAAUUUUGGACAAUGGGAGCAACCCUGAUGCAGCCAUCCCGCGUGUGUGAAGAAGGCCUUCGGGUUGUAAAGCACUUUCAGCCAGGAGGCGUUAUUCGCAGAAGAAGCACCGGCUAACUCCGUGCCAGCAGCCGCGGUAAUAC
rnacentral:rRNA from 1 species